rnacentral:misc_RNA from 1 species
GUCAUUUUGGCUAACGGUUGCUUACCUUGCAUUUGAGCUUUGGUUGGUGGCUGUUAGUUGGGUGGUUUCGGGAAUGUCUUACCGUAAAGGUGCAUGAGUGGUGUUUGGUUUGUUACGGGUGGUUGGCUCUUUGCUUGCGCAACAACUUCCACCUGGCAUACCUCUUCAGUUUUGUGUCAAUGCUUGUAUCGCGUUGAACGCAUGGUGGGUUUCUUGUGUUACAUGCCUAAGUGAUGGUACCGUUCGAUGAAUUUAUGUCAAUUUUCGUCUUGCAUUGCACAUGCGAUGUGAGAUGAACCUUAAUGCUUCCUUUGUGAUCCACUAUUUUGGUGCNCCCGCAUUGAUUUUGUGGCUCGCUAAGUGUUGCUUGGUCUCAUCGAUAUGGAACCUUGUGUGGGCAUAGGCUCUUUUGGUAGAUCCUUGUUUGCCCUAGUUAAGCUUUUCAAAUGCGAUCUCCUAUCAUGUUUUAGCAUGUUAGGAUACAUCGAAUAUGAAUGCUAC